rnacentral:rRNA from 1 species
AGCGUACACGGUGGAUGCCCUGGCAGUCAGAGGCGAUGAAGGACGUGCUAAUCUGCGAUAAGCGUCGGUAAGGUGAUAUGAACCGUUAUAACCGGCGAUUUCCGAAUGGGGAAACCCAGUGUGAUUCGUCACACUAUCAUUAACUGAAUCCAUAGGUUAAUGAGGCGAACCGGGGGAACUGAAACAUCUAAGUACCCCGAGGAAAAGAAAUCAACCGAGAUUCCCCCAGUAGCGGCGAGCGAACGGGGAGCAGCCCAGAGCCUGAAUCAGUGUGUGUGUUAGUGGAAGCGUCUGGAAAGGCGCGCGAUACAGGGUGACAGCCCCGUACACAAAAAUGCACAUGCUGUGAGCUCGAUGAGUAGGGCGGGACACGUGGUAUCCUGUCUGAAUAUGGGGGGACCAUCCUCCAAGGCUAAAUACUCCUGACUGACCGAUAGUGAACCAGUACCGUGAGGGAAAGGCGAAAAGAACCCCGGCGAGGGGAGUGAAAAAGAACCUGAAACCGUGUACGUACAAGCAGUGGGAGCACGCUUAGGCGUGUGACUGCGUACCUUUUGUAUAAUGGGUCAGCGACUUAUAUUCUGUAGCAAGGUUAACCGAAUAGGGGAGCCGAAGGGAAACCGAGUCUUAACUGGGCGUUAAGUUGCAGGGUAUAGACCCGAAACCCGGUGAUCUAGCCAUGGGCAGGUUGAAGGUUGGGUAACACUAACUGGAGGACCGAACCGACUAAUGUUGAAAAAUUAGCGGAUGACUUGUGGCUGGGGGUGAAAGGCCAAUCAAACCGGGAGAUAGCUGGUUCUCCCCGAAAGCUAUUUAGGUAGCGCCUCGUGAAUUCAUCUCCGGGGGUAGAGCACUGUUUCGGCAAGGGGGUCAUCCCGACUUACCAACCCGAUGCAAACUGCGAAUACCGGAGAAUGUUAUCACGGGAGACACACGGCGGGUGCUAACGUCCGUCGUGAAGAGGGAAACAACCCAGACCGCCAGCUAAGGUCCCAAAGUCAUGGUUAAGUGGGAAACGAUGUGGGAAGGCCCAGACAGCCAGGAUGUUGGCUUAGAAGCAGCCAUCAUUUAAAGAAAGCGUAAUAGCUCACUGGUCGAGUCGGCCUGCGCGGAAGAUGUAACGGGGCUAAACCAUGCACCGAAGCUGCGGCAGCGACGCUUAUGCGUUGUUGGGUAGGGGAGCGUUCUGUAAGCCUGUGAAGGUGUACUGUGAGGUAUGCUGGAGGUAUCAGAAGUGCGAAUGCUGACAUAAGUAACGAUAAAGCGGGUGAAAAGCCCGCUCGCCGGAAGACCAAGGGUUCCUGUCCAACGUUAAUCGGGGCAGGGUGAGUCGACCCCUAAGGCGAGGCCGAAAGGCGUAGUCGAUGGGAAACAGGUUAAUAUUCCUGUACUUGGUGUUACUGCGAAGGGGGGACGGAGAAGGCUAUGUUGGCCGGGCGACGGUUGUCCCGGUUUAAGCGUGUAGGCUGGUUUUCCAGGCAAAUCCGGAAAAUCAAGGCUGAGGCGUGAUGACGAGGCACUACGGUGCUGAAGCAACAAAUGCCCUGCUUCCAGGAAAAGCCUCUAAGCAUCAGGUAACAUCAAAUCGUACCCCAAACCGACACAGGUGGUCAGGUAGAGAAUACCAAGGCGCUUGAGAGAACUCGGGUGAAGGAACUAGGCAAAAUGGUGCCGUAACUUCGGGAGAAGGCACGCUGAUAUGUAGGUGAAGUCCCUCGCGGAUGGAGCUGAAAUCAGUCGAAGAUACCAGCUGGCUGCAACUGUUUAUUAAAAACACAGCACUGUGCAAACACGAAAGUGGACGUAUACGGUGUGACGCCUGCCCGGUGCCGGAAGGUUAAUUGAUGGGGUCAGCGCAAGCGAAGCUCUUGAUCGAAGCCCCGGUAAACGGCGGCCGUAACUAUAACGGUCCUAAGGUAGCGAAAUUCCUUGUCGGGUAAGUUCCGACCUGCACGAAUGGCGUAAUGAUGGCCAGGCUGUCUCCACCCGAGACUCAGUGAAAUUGAACUCGCUGUGAAGAUGCAGUGUACCCGCGGCAAGACGGAAAGACCCCGUGAACCUUUACUAUAGCUUGACACUGAACAUUGAGCCUUGAUGUGUAGGAUAGGUGGGAGGCUUUGAAGUGUGGACGCCAGUCUGCAUGGAGCCGACCUUGAAAUACCACCCUUUAAUGUUUGAUGUUCUAACGUUGACCCGUGAUCCGGGUUGCGGACAGUGUCUGGUGGGUAGUUUGACUGGGGCGGUCUCCUCCUAAAGAGUAACGGAGGAGCACGAAGGUUGGCUAAUCCUGGUCGGACAUCAGGAGGUUAGUGCAAUGGCAUAAGCCAGCUUGACUGCGAGCGUGACGGCGCGAGCAGGUGCGAAAGCAGGUCAUAGUGAUCCGGUGGUUCUGAAUGGAAGGGCCAUCGCUCAACGGAUAAAAGGUACUCCGGGGAUAACAGGCUGAUACCGCCCAAGAGUUCAUAUCGACGGCGGUGUUUGGCACCUCGAUGUCGGCUCAUCACAUCCUGGGGCUGAAGUAGGUCCCAAGGGUAUGGCUGUUCGCCAUUUAAAGUGGUACGCGAGCUGGGUUUAGAACGUCGUGAGACAGUUCGGUCCCUAUCUGCCGUGGGCGCUGGAGAACUGAGGGGGGCUGCUCCUAGUACGAGAGGACCGGAGUGGACGCAUCACUGGUGUUCGGGUUGUCAUGCCAAUGGCACUGCCCGGUAGCUAAAUGCGGAAGAGAUAAGUGCUGAAAGCAUCUAAGCACGAAACUUGCCCCGAGAUGAGUUCU